GGAGGCGUCGUAUAGCGGUAUUACAACGGAUUGCUAAUCCGUCGGUCUCGUAAGAGCCGGGCAGGUUCGACUCCUGUCGCCUCCG
rfam:Treponema saccharophilum DSM 2985 Tsacc_Contig221, whole genome shotgun sequence.